rnacentral:rRNA from 1 species
AUUGAACGCUGGCGGCAUGCCUUACACAUGCAAGUCGAACGGCAGCACGGGAGCAAUCCUGGUGGCGAGUGGCGAACGGGUGAGUAAUAUAUCGGAACGUGCCCAGUCGUGGGGAUAACGUAGCGAAAGCUACGCUAAUACCGCAUACGAUCUAUGGAUGAAAGCGGGGGAUCGCAAGACCUCGCGCGAUUGGAGCGGCCGAUAUCAGAUUAGGUAGUUGGUGAGGUAAAGGCUCACCAAGCCGACGAUCUGUAGCUGGUCUGAGAGGACGACCAGCCACACUGGGACUGAGACACGGCCCAGACUCCUACGGGAGGCAGCAGUGGGGGAAUUUUUGGGACAAUGGGCGCAAGCCUGAUCCAGCAAUGCCGCGUGCAGGAUGAAGGCCUCGGUUGUAACUAGCUUUGUACGGUAACGGUAAACGGGUACGGU